rnacentral:lncRNA from 1 species
UUCUAUAUAAAAACUCAAGUUUUAUGUUUAACUCCAAAAAGAGCUUUUUAGGGGAAAAUGGACAUUUCACCUCUUUUACUUAGUGACUAAUGACUUGUUUAAGUUUAAUUUCACCUAACUAAGGCAGAGUUGUUACAACCACACUUGGGGUGCGUCUCCUCAUACUCCUUGAUGGCCUGGCUGGGACCUGCGCCGCCUGCGCUCACCGCCAUUCGGUGGACAUUGGUGUCGUGCUAAGCCUGGCGUCGAGUGUUGAUGACGCUGUGAGCCACGGUUUGGCCCGAGUCACUCCUGGACGUGCGGACACCGUGGAGC